CAUGGUGUUCACCAGAUCUCUUGGAAGGUGUGACAGCUGCCAGCAGUAUCAGCAAUGCCUGGACAAGAAAAACUGAAAUUAUUUCCGACAGUAGUAUAUAUUUAACGGAAUCACAGCUUUUUGCACAAUCUGAUAACUGCACUGCAAUAGAAAAACAAGACACCUCUAAAGGGAUAGAAGACAAGGGGUGUUCGGAGUAUAUAUAGUGAGGAAAAUUGAGAUGUGAGGAACAAUGGUGCAGAAUGAAACAAUCUUGAAAUAGUCAGCCAGGGGUAAAUUAUCUGGACCUCAUCAGUUACUUCUAGGAUCAUAGUGACGGGGGGGGGGGUCACCCAGAAGCUGUGCGAGUCUACUGCUUCUUUGUGAUUUGCCUUUCAGAUGUUACAAUGUUGUAGGUUGGCACCCUUUUUUCUGCAUAGAACUAGACCAGCAACUCAGGU